rnacentral:rRNA from 1 species
AGAGUUUGAUCCUGGCUCAGGAUGAACGCUAGCUACAGGCUUAACACAUGCAAGUCGAGGGGCAUCAGAUCGAAAGCUUGCUUUUGAUGCUGGCGACCGGCGCACGGGUGAGUAACGCGUAUCCAACCUUCCCUAUAGUAGAGAAUAGCCCGGCGAAAGUCGGAUUAAUGCUCUAUGUUGUAUUUAGAGGACAUCUGAAGAAUACCAAAGGUUUACCGCUAUAGGAUGGGGAUGCGUCUGAUUAGGUAGUAGGCGGGGUAACGGCCCACCUAGCCGACGAUCAGUAGGGGUUCUGAGAGGAAGGUCCCCCACAUUGGAACUGAGACACGGUCCAAACUCCUACGGGAGGCAGCAGUGAGGAAUAUUGGUCAAUGGACGGAAGUCUGAACCAGCCAAGUAGCGUGCAGGAUGACGGCCCUAUGGGUUGUAAACUGCUUUUAUAUAGGGAUAAAGUCGGGGACGUGUCCCCGUUUUGUAGGUACUAUAUGAAAUAAGGACCGGCUAAUUCCCGUGCCAGCAGCCGCGGGUAAUACGGAAGGUCCAGGCGUUAUCCGGAUUUAUUGGGUUUAAAGGGAGCGCAGGCUGAUGAUUAAGCGUGACGUGAAAUGUAGCCGCUCAACGGCUGAACUGCGUCGCGAACUGGUUAUCUUGAGUGAGUUCGAUGUUGGCGGAAUUCGUGGUGUAGCGGUGAAAUGCUUAGAUAUCACGAGUA